rnacentral:lncRNA from 1 species
AUUCAGACGACUGUGAAAUAUCGCUGAUGGAACUGGAAUUUAACAGCUGGAACCUAAUAUAAUAAUACACAAAAAUAUUAGUUGUGGCCAAAAGAAUGCUUUAAUUCCUCUCAAAUAGAAAUAACACGCGCACAUUUCAGAUACAUCGAUAACAUGCAGUGUAUCUUCGACGUUCAGUAUUCGACCAAACCUACUGGAACUGAUGGACUCAACUUCGUCUGAUUGCUUUACGUAAUCCGAUAAUGUCGGAUAUAUCAAAUAUUACCAUGAAUGAUUUAAUUCAGAUUUAUAAACAAGUUGAAAAGCAUUGUUUAUGUCUUGAUAAUUCAUCAAUUGCCAUUAUUUCCCAAUCUCUGGAAAUUGGGCUUAAAGACAGUAUAUCAACAGACGAAUUACAUGUUUUGCUUCUGAAUAUAAACGUACUUCAUCUAAUGGUAAAAAAAUUAAACGAGC